GCACCUAGGUUCUAGAACUUCAUCAGACACAUACUAAGCCCUUUCUCAGGAUGACCCUAUCUAUCCCAGGGUCAGCAGGCGUGGCGGGCCCGACAGCCAUUCAGGGGCUGAAAUUCUGCACUCCUCGCUCCAAUACACCUAAUUUCCUUUUCCACGUGACCAGCUUCGACUGAUCUUUUUUUCUGCCUGAUCAGAUUCUGCAUUCUUCUCAUAGUUCUCUAUCUGGCUGGCGGCCACAAUCCUAUUGUCGUUUUAUUACCAGUCCUCUCUGCAGUGUGCCUGUUUGCAAUUAGGUGAAAGAUCCCCCCGGGGCUCC